AGUGAACGCUGGCGGUAGGCCUAACACAUGCAAGUCGAACGGCAGCACAGUAAGAGCUUGCUCUUACGGGUGGCGAGUGGCGGACGGGUGAGGAAUACAUCGGAAUCUACUUUUUCGUGGGGGAUAACGUAGGGAAACUUACGCUAAUACCGCAUACGACCUACGGAUGAAAGCAGGGGAUCUUCGGACCUUGCGCGAUUGAAUGAGCCGAUGUCGGAUUAGCUAGUUGGCGGGGUAAAGGCCCACCAAGGCGACGAUCCGUAGCCGGUCUGAGAGGAUGAUCAGCCACACUGGAACUGAGACACGGUCCAGACUCCUACGGGAGGCAGCAGUGGGGAAUAUUGGACAAUGGGCGCAAGCCUGAUCCAGCCAUACCGCGUGGGUGAAGAAGGCCUUCGGGUUGUAAAGCCCUUUUGUUGGGAAAGAAAAGCAGCAGGUUAAUACCCCGCUGUUCUGACGGUACCCAAAGAAUAAGCACCGGCUAACUUCGUG
rnacentral:rRNA from 1 species